rnacentral:rRNA from 4 species
CCGGCUUACCAACCCGAUGCAAACUGCGAAUACCGGAGAAUGUUAUCACGGGAGACACACGGCGGGUGCUAACGUCCGUCGUGAAGAGGGAAACAACCCAGACCGCCAGCUAAGGUCCCAAAGUCAUGGUUAAGUGGGAAACGAUGUGGGAAGGCCCAGACAGCCAGGAUGUUGGCUUAGAAGCAGCCAUCAUUUAAAGAAAGCGUAAUAGCUCACUGGUCGAGUCGGCCUGCGCGGAAGAUGUAACGGGGCUAAACCAUGCACCGAAGCUGCGGCAGCGACACUGUGUGUUGUUGGGUAGGGGAGCGUUCUGUAAGCCUGUGAAGGUGUGUCGUGAGGCAUGCUGGAGGUAUCAGAAGUGCGAAUGCUGACAUAAGUAACGAUAAAGCGGGUGAAAAGCCCGCUCGCCGGAAGACCAAGGGUUCCUGUCCAACGUUAAUCGGGGCAGGGUGAGUCGACCCCUAAGGCGAGGCCGAAAGGCGUAGUCGAUGGGAAACGGGUUAAUAUUCCCGUACUUGGUGUUACUGCGAAGGGGGGACGGAGAAGGCUAUGUUGGCCGGGCGACGGUUGUCCCGGUUUAAGCGUGUAGGUGUGUGUUCCAGGUAAAUCCGGUUCACUUUAACACUGAGGCGUGACGACGAGGCACUACGGUGCUGAAGCAACAAAUGCCCUGCUUCCAGGAAAAGCCUCUAAGCAUCAGGUAACAUCAAAUCGUACCCCAAACCGACACAGGUGGUCAGGUAGAGAAUACCAAGGCGCUUGAGAGAACUCGGGUGAAGGAACUAGGCAAAAUGGUGCCGUAACUUCGGGAGAAGGCACGCUGACACGUAGGUGAAGUGAUUUACUCAUGGAGCUGAAGUCAGUCGAAGAUACCAGCUGGCUGCAACUGUUUAUUAAAAACACAGCACUGUGCAAACACGAAAGUGGACGUAUACGGUGUGACGCCUGCCCGGUGCCGGAAGGUUAAUUGAUGGGGUCAGCGCAAGCGAAGCUCCUGAUCGAAGCCCCGGUAAACGGCGGCCGUAACUAUAACGGUCCUAAGGUAGCGAAAUUCCUUGUCGGGUAAGUUCCGACCUGCACGAAUGGCGUAAUGAUGGCCAGGCUGUCUCCACCCGAGACUCAGUGAAAUUGAACUCGCUGUGAAGAUGCAGUGUACCCGCGGCAAGACGGAAAGACCCCGUGAACCUUUACUAUAGCUUGACACUGAACAUUGAGCCUUGAUGUGUAGGAUAGGUGGGAGGCUUUGAAGUGUGGACGCCAGUCUGCAUGGAGCCGACCUUGAAAUACCACCCUUUAAUGUUUGAUGUUCUAACGUGGACCCGUUACCCGGGUUGCGGACAGUGUCUGGUGGGUAGUUUGACUGGGGCGGUCUCCUCCUAAAGAGUAACGGAGGAGCACGAAGGUUGGCUAAUCCUGGUCGGACAUCAGGAGGUUAGUGCAAUGGCAUAAGCCAGCUUGACUGCGAGCGUGACGGCGCGAGCAGGUGCGAAAGCAGGUCAUAGUGAUCCGGUGGUUCUGAAUGGAAGGGCCAUCGCUCAACGGAUAAAAGGUACUCCGGGGAUAACAGGCUGAUACCGCCCAAGAGUUCAUAUCGACGGCGGUGUUUGGCACCUCGAUGUCGGCUCAUCACAUCCUGGGGCUGAAGUAGGUCCCAAGGGUAUGGCUGUUCGCCAUUUAAAGUGGUACGCGAGCUGGGUUUAGAACGUCGUGAGACAGUUCGGUCCCUAUCUGCCGUGGGCGCUGGAGAACUGAGGGGGGCUGCUCCUAGUACGAGAGGACCGGAGUGGACGCAUCACUGGUGUUCGGGUUGUCAUGCCAAUGGCACUGCCCGGUAGCUAAAUGCGGAAGAGAUAAGUGCUGAAAGCAUCUAAGCACGAAACUUGCCCCGA